UGCCCAGGAGGAGGCUUCAUACCACGAGCCUCCCGGAGGUGUAACUGCAGUCUGAGCAGCUGCACUCGGCAACCCUGGGGUCUGCAUCUGCAGCUGCUUGUCAAGUUCACUUCCAGUGUGUGGAUGUGCUUCUUCAGAAGAGGAGGGUGCUGGGCUGCUGAGAGAGUCUUCAGGUCUAAGGAGUUGCGGCUGAGAUCACAGGCCACUGAGUGCCGCGACCUUGAGGCUUCCCACCACUCUGUCCCAGCACCUGUGACAGUGCUCCAGGUGGGCACCUGGACGGACAAAUCCGUGACGAGCUGGGGAAGCUGAGCAGGAGAGGCGCGCGUGUCCAUGGGCUCCAGGCGACCCUCUCGGCAGGUGGUAUAUUUAUGAAGAAUGCCGACUCCAGAGCCAAACUUGUAGGUACCUCCACUGUGCAGUUAUAGGACCUCAGAUCGUUAGACUGGGACUCCAGGAGCUGAACUGACUUGUCCAAGGUCCUCCAUCCAAUACCAAAGGGCGGGUCAAGCCACAAAUUUAGGUCUGUCUGCCUUCCCAGUUCUUUUCAGCACAUGGCACUGUGUCUCUAGACGAAAGCUUUCCGGAAUCAUGGUAUUAGAGCAAGGCGAGGCUGCUCGGAGCCUUCUCCUCCACCUUCUCGCAGGGCACACCAGCCCCUCCCUCCGGCUUGGCCAGGAGCUGGCUGGCGGGCUGGAAUGCCAAUGCCUGUCGGGUGGCAUUUCAGACAGCCCACUAUUCUGCUUUCAGUGCACACGAUUGGGAACCACUCGGAACUGCAGAGAGGGCGUCAUCGUUGGAAGUAGGGUGGGGGCUGGAUUUAUCAGCAGUUUCUUUCUGCUUCCCCAAGGGCCAGCGCCAGUCCUUAGGAAACCCUUUCCCUGGUCCGGGCAGAGGCACCUGGAGCCCCUCUUGCUGCUUCUGUGCGCCACCUUGAGGGCAUUUGAGUUACUGCACCACCAACAUGCAGUUGCUGCUCUAGUCAAAGUCCAACGAUUCUAACUAGGUUAAGGGCAGAAGAUUCAAGUGCAAGUCCUUCCUUGUCACCAUGGUGCCCUUCCUGGUCAAUUUCCUGGUAUUCCAGCUACAUCUUGGAGAGUACCAUCGUCACUUUUACUGCCGGGCGGUUGCCUGGGCCAUUCCUCUGCUUGGGACGCCCUCUCCUGGACGGUCUACCCAGCAAACUGCUAUUUAUCUUUUGAUUCCCACUCCAAAAACUCUCGCUGCCAUGAGUCUCCAGUGACUACUCGCCACGUUGAAACACUCUCCCCGCGUCCCCACUGCGUGUUACAUCCACUCCCUUCUAAAAGCUCUCACUCUGUGGCGUGUGUCUCCUCAUGAGCUGUCAGAGACACAAACUCAGAGGCCACAAGCUUCAGUUUUUGCCUGGUUUUAAACACGAUAAACAGUGCUGGGAUGGAACCCAAGGCUUUGAGCAUGAGAGGCAAGAGGUCUACCACUGAGCUAUAUUCCCAGCCCCCAUGUAUAUUUUUAAAACUUCCUACAAUGAAUAAUUGAUUGCCUGUAUAACAAAAUAAACAUAAAAUAGUUAAACUACCUUUACUCCAUGUACAAACAGAGAAACAACAUGUAUCCCAUUUGUUUACAAUAAAAAAAUAGUUAAACUGUACAAUAAAUAUGAUUAAAUAUAUCACAAAUAAAAUAUUUCAUUUUUAAGAAGCAGUGAGAUAAUGAUGGUCA